UAAGACGACCAGCCGGGUCGUCACACUAACGCACCAGUUCCCAUCAAAACUCCAAAGUUAAGCGUGCUUGGGCGAUAGUAAUACUACGAUGGGUGACCCCUUGGGACGUCCUCGUGUUGCAUCCC
rnacentral:rRNA from 1 species